rfam:Asian citrus Psyllid, Diaphorina citri - Florida Strain, whole genome shotgun sequence.
GCCAACGUUCAUAUUAAGUUGAGUACCCCAGUUCUCGUUUGAUCACUUAAGUUAAGCAAUGUGGAGCAUGGAUACUACUUGGAUGGGUGACCUUUUGGAAUCACCACGGAACGUUGGCG